UCCCAGGAUAGCUCAGUCAGUAGAGCAUGAGACUUUUAAUCUCAGAGUUGUGGGUUCGAGUCCCACAUUGGGCA